rnacentral:rRNA from 1 species
AUUGAACGCUGGCGGCAGGCUUAACACAUGCAAGUCGAGCGGGGGAAGGUAGCUUGCUACCGGACCUAGCGGCGGACGGGUGAGUAAUGCUUAGGAAUCUGCCUAUUAGUGGGGGACAACAUCUCGAAAGGGAUGCUAAUACCGCAUACGUCCUAUGGGAGAAAGCAGGGGAUCUUCGGACAUUGCGCUAAUAGAUGAGCUUAAGUCGGAUUAGCUGGUUGGUGGGGUAAAGGACUACCAAGGCGACGAUCUGUAGCGGGUCUGAGAGGAUGAUCCGCCACACUGGGACGGAGACACGGCCCAGACUCCUACGGGAGGCAGCAGUGGGGAAUAUUGGACAAUGGGGGGAACCCUGAUCCAGCCAUGCCGCGUGUGUGAAGAAGGCCUUAUGGUUGUAAAGCACUUUAAGCGAGGAGGAGGCUACUUUAGUUAAUACCUAGAGAUAGUGGACGUUACUCGCAGAAUAAGCACCGGCUAACUCUGUGCCAGCAGCCGCCGUAA